GCCAGGUGUGGUGGUGUGCACCUGUAGUCCCAGCUACUUGGGGGCUGAGGUGGGAGGAUUGCUUGAGCCUGGGAGGUUGGGACUUCAAUGAGCUGUCUUUGUGCCAUUGUACUCUAGCCUGGGUGACAAAGUGAGACCCUGUCUCAA
rnacentral:SRP_RNA from 1 species